UACGGGGGGGGCAAGCGUUGUUCGGAAUUACUGGGCGUAAAGAGCGUGUAGGCGGCCAGGUAGGUCGGUUGUGAAAACUGGAGGCUCAACCUUCAGAGGUCGACCGAAACCAUCUGGCUAGAGUCCGGGAGAGGAGAGUGGAAUUCCUGGUGUAGCGGUGAAAUGCGCAGAUAUCAGGAAGAACACCAAUGGCGAAAGCAGCUUUCUGGGACGGUACUGACGCUGAGACGCGAAAGCGUGGGGAGCGAACAGG
rnacentral:rRNA from 1 species